GCCAGGUAUGGUGGCUCAUGCCUGUAAUCCCAGCACAUUGGGAGGCUGAGAUGGGUGGAUCACCUGAGGUCAGGAGUUCGAGACCAGCCUGGCCAACAUGGUGAAACCCCAUCUCUA
ensembl:misc_RNA Metazoa_SRP Metazoan signal recognition particle RNA